UACGGGGGGGGCAAGCGUUGUUCGGAAUUACUGGGCGUAAAGGGCGCGUAGGCGGCCUGUUAAGUCACACGUGAAAUCCCUCGGCUCAACCGGGGAACUGCGUGUGAUACUGAAAGGCUUGAAUCCGGGAGAGGGAUGUGGAAUUCCAGGUGUAGCGGUGAAAUGCGUAGAUAUCUGGAGGAACACCGGUGGCGAAGGCGGCAUCCUGGACCGGUAUUGACGCUGAGGCGCGAAAGCUAGGGGAGCAAACGGG
rnacentral:rRNA from 1 species